AUGCCCAGGGUUAAGAGAGCUCCGUGAUGUGGCUGCAGUCUGGAAGGCAGUCUGGUCUGCCUGUCAGUGGUCCUAAUCUAGGAGCCCCGUUAAAUCCUCUUCCAAGUCCCUCGCUGACCAGGCCAUUGAAAUCCUCUGGCAUCAGAGUACAUCAGCGUAGACUGAUCUUAGCACUCUGAAAUUGACAGUACAACCUGGAUUUUACCCAUAGUGCGAGGCUCUAUACGCACCUAUCUCUUAAUUAGAAAAAAUGCAGUUAGGUCCAAUUAAUGUACCCCAAAAUCUAGAAAAUACCUCUUUCUCGUUCUGAUUGCUUACUGGCUUAUGGCUAGUAACCUGUGCUGGGAUAACAAGCAGCCACGGGACACAGGUCAGAAUGGCCAUUUUUCCCAUACUUUGUUGUUGGUUUUUUUUUUAAUCACUCACAUAAACUGAAUUAACACAUCAGUAGUUAAGGUAAACGCCACUUAUAACUUGGAAGCUGAAUGCUUCUUAUAUAUAAAAUACUGCUUUUUAUGUCUCCUGAAAUAACUGUUCUUACUCCCGUGGAGCUUAAGCCCAGGACUUUGCCUCUACAGAGCAUGCUCCAUUACUGAGCAGUAGUCCCAGCUUUCAUUUCAAAAGUCAGAAAUCAUUGUUUUUAUUGUAACUGAGCCAAAGGCAAACCAUAAAUAGGCAACAUAUAAAUGUGAUAGGCCAUACCUCAGAUUUACUAGUCAAGGUGGCCUGAGAACUUGGAAGGAGUUUAUUAUGCUUUCCCUAAUAAAAGGACAGAAACUUAAUGGCAGGUAUGAUGGCUGUCACCCUGAGUCACCUUAAAACUAAGUAAGAAACUUAAAACUAGAAAGAGGAAAGGAAGUGUUGGGAAGUGUUCAGCAGAGGAGGACGGGACCUAGAGGCAGAUGGAGCACUUUGCAAGUCUGCUGUACACAAGGCCCUAGGCAUAUGCCAGAACCUCAGAAACAAAAAUCCCCAUCAGCUAUAUUAAGCCAGACGCCAUUACCAACUAAGACAUGGUUACAUCUUAUGUAAGAGAGCUGGUUAGUUGUAACACUGCUAGUAAGCAUAGUCCAAGUGAGAAAUACUUUAGUCUUUCAGGCAGAACCAGUUUGAUGCUGUCCUGUUAAAGAACAAACAUGACUUUCCAGAGAAAUCACUCUGAGCACAUCAAAAUUAAUAGAGGAAAAACUUUAAUGAUAAUGUGUGCCUGGUUUUGUUGACCACAAAAGGGAGUGGCCUCAGUCAAGGUUUUCCCAGUGUAUACAGGCCUUAGGCCUAUACAUUCCGUGUGUGCUGCCACCCUUAACUCUCCUUCAGGUCCUGACCGCAGAGCUGGGGGGCAGCUGGGAGAUUGAUAUAGCAACGCCAUGACAGUGUUGAUCUGUUGGCUGGUUGUUCCCCAGGGUCAUCUUUCUCACUCUGCAGAAUUAAUGCUUUCCCUAGUAAAAGGACAGAAACUUCAUGGCAGAUAUGAUGGCUGUCACCCUGUACCACUUCCUUGAGUCACCUUAGAGACAAGUAUUCUGAUAUGGGAAUAGGCUUAACGGCCACUUAGUCCUGGUAGACAGGUUCAACAGUUUUAAACUUGAGUUGUGUUUGAGGAACAAACUAACAAGCCUGGUUAGCACACUGCUUAUUUUCGAGUUCUGAGGAGGCAUUGCUCCCUUAGCUAAGUCCUACUUUGUGUAACUUACUUUCUACUAAGCAACUUUAUUAGUAAAUCCUUUAUAACAUUAAUGCUAUUUCAUGGUUCUGUUACAUAUCUGAACGUGAAAUGCAAAUUUCACUGUAUGUCAUCUUAAAAGAAGUGAUGCUGGCUCCUGUUUCGUCCAUAACCCUGACUUCCUACAAAAGAAGGAGCAAUAGUUAACGUUGCUGUUGCUAUGAUGAAACACCAUGGCCAAGGCGACUUGUUAAUGAAAGAGCUUGACUUACAUUUCCACAUCACAGUUCAUCAUCAGCUAGGCUAAGAACUCAAACAGCGCAGGAACCUGGAGGCAAGAGCUGAUGCCGAGGCCAUGGAGGAGUGCUGCUUACUGGCUUGAUUACAUGGCUUGCUCAACCUAUCAGCGUGCUUACUUUUAGACACCAGGGCCACCAGCCUGGGGAUAACUGCCCAUAAAGAGCUGGGUCCUCCCCCAUCAUUCAGUAAUGCUCUACCAGCUUGCCUGCUGCCCACUCUUACAGAGGCAUUUUCUUAAUUGGGGUUCUCUCCUCAGAUGUCUGUGUCAAGUUGACAUAAAGUUAACACAAUGUUCAGCAACAAAUGAAAAUUUCUGCAGGUUCUUUUGAAUAGCCCACAAGUAGCAUUUGCUGUGAGUGACUUGCUGUGGGAAAUUUUAGCACCCGCCUAGUUCAUUAUAUGCCUUUCCUCCUGGCUGUUAGAACCUAGUAGAAACACAUGCUUUUCUCUUUCUUUUUUUUUUUUUUUUUAAACCUCACCCUCUGAAGUGACGGUAAGGAGUUUUCAGUAGAAGACAGUUGGCCAAGCUGCUCUAGUAACUUUCUGAUGAAAAGCUUUAAAAGUAAAAGUUAAGCAUCCUGCCUUCAGAGCAUCAGCGUUAGUAGUUUCUGCAAGGAGAGCCAUCACUGCUGCUCACGGGUGUUAAUCUCCGAUAAGGUAGUGUGGGCUGGUUUUUCAGAAAUUCACUAUAAAUCUUAGAACAUAUUUCCAGAUAUAGCUUAAAAUCAUAGCAAUGUUCACUUUGAAAUCGCACAUUCCUGGUAAAAUACUUUUGAGUGUAUAAAGAAAUACUUGCUGUUGAGAAAGUUGAAGUGCUUUGUUUAUAGGUAGACCUAAGAGAUAAAACUGCAGGGUAUCACAUUAACGUUGGUUAAAAGAUUUUUUUUAAGUCCCUGAUGUAAUUUUCUUCCACAUAAAUAAAUUUUCAUCUGCCUCUACUUU
rnacentral:lncRNA from 1 species